rnacentral:lncRNA from 1 species
UCUGGUAUUUUUAAAGAGUGAGCAAUCAUAUAAAAGGAAAUAUGGUCAUAACUGAUUGAAGUAAUAAAAUCCCCAAACUAAAUAACAUCUCAUAAUUCAUCACACAGCAUAUAUUAGAUUUCAUUACAUCAGUAUAUAGCUUAGCAGUAAAUUCUCCUGAUAGCCAUAAACCUCUGAGGUGUUGUCAUCCUGAAAAAUGAAGGGGAGGAAGCUGGUGGGGGUACAGAAGGGAUAAAUCUUCCGCUGGUGUGGCACACCAUCAGGUGGAAAAGUUGUAGUGUGUCGCCACCUAAUGGCAUAACUCCUGUCCUUGUUCUAAUACAGGGACUGUUUUUAAAGAGCUGUCUCAUUCACCUUGUCAUUGUAUUCUUCUCUGAUGCUACAGUUCCAAAACUGAGGGCUGCCCAUCGUGUGUUAACAGAUCUACUCUUUAUCUACCAGGCUGUCAAGCAUUUGGUUAUGACACUUUUUAUGUUCACCUAAUUUUUAAAUUCCAAGUACUUCGGUAACUUUCAAAGCCACACACAAGAUGUCUAUAUAUAUAUAUAUUUUUUUUUGGUACUGGGGAUAGAACUCGGAAACUUGUGCUUGUGAGGCAGGCACCAGAACCACUGAGCUAAAUCCCCAGCCCUAAGAUGUCUAUAUUUUAAAAACACCAUACUGAUUGUGAAUUUGGGAUGCCUAUUAUGGCUAUAGGAACUCCGGGCUUUGGCUCAGUUUCUAUUCUAUUUUUGGAUCUUUUUAGCAUGUCAGAAUUAACACAUAGCUGAUGCAUUAAAAGUGGGUCCUCAAACAGCUACAUGAAAUUAUCACAGUCUACAUUUUGGAUUUUACUAAGGUUCUAGAAUUUUAAAAUGGCCAAAGGUGCAGCUAGUGAAGAUUUCUUAAUUAGCAUUUUGGUACCAUACAUAAUCACACAAAGUAGAUGAUGAGAACUUAGUUCAGGAAUGUUAUUAAAUAUUUCUGAGAGACGUGGAAUUUGGAACUGGGGGAGAAGGGCUGAGGCCCCACUGUGCUUUACUCUGCUACACCUUGACAACACAUAGACUAAGUGAUUCUAUGAAGUGCACUAGAACAGUGAACAUAAGCCAGGUAGCUCUACUUUGUAGAUGGAAUUGCAAAGUACAGUUAAAAAGAAAAUAAUAAGGCCUGGGGAUUUAGCUCAGUGGUUCUGCCCCCUGCUUUGCAAGCACAAGGUCCCGAGUUCAAUCCCCGUACCAAAAAAAAAAAAAAAAACACAAAAAACUAGAACAUGAGCUACUUCUCAAUAAAGCACUCUAUCUUCCUUCAAGGUCUACAAAAAGCAUAUAUUCAAACCCUAGACCAAUCUCAAGUUUUGAACAAAAGAUACCAAACACUUUAAAGC